rnacentral:rRNA from 1 species
AUUGAACGCUGGCGGCAGGCCUAACACAUGCAAGUCGAGCGAGCGGCGGACGGGAGAGUAAUGCGUGGGAAUUGACCAGUCGAGGGGGAUAAACGUUGGAAACGACUGCUAAUACCGCAUACGAUUGGAUUGCACAGUGGGGAUUAGCUAGUUGGUGAGGUAAUGGUUCACCAAGGAGACGAUCCCUAGCUGGUCUGAGUGGAUGAUCAGCCACACUGGAACUGAGACACGGUCCAGACUCCUUCGGGAGGCAGCAGUGGGGAAUAUUGCACAAUGGGGGAAACCCUGAUGCAGCCAUGCCGCGUGUGUGAAGAAGGCCUUCGGGUUGUAAAGCACUUUCAGCGCGGAGGCGUUACUCGCAGAAGAAGCACCGGCUAACUCCGUGCCAGCAGCCGCGGUAAUAC